rnacentral:rRNA from 1 species
GACGAACGCUGGCGGCGUGCCUAACACAUGCAAGUCGAGCGAGUGAAUCUCCUUCGGGAGUGAAGCUAGCGGCGGACGGGUGAGUAACACGUGGGCAACCUGCCUCAUAGAGGGGAAUAGCCUUCCGAAAGGAAGAUUAAUACCGCAUAGGAUUGUAGCUUCGCAUGAAGUAGCAAUUAAAGGAGCAAUCCGCUAUGAGAUGGGCCCGCGGCGCAUUAGCUAGUUGGUGAGGUAACGGCUCACUAAGGCGACGAUGCGUAGCCGACCUGAGAGGGUGAUCGGCCACAUUGGGACUGAGACACGGCCCAGACUCCUACGGGAGGCAGCAGUGGGGAAUAUUGCACAAUGGGGGAAACCCUGAUGCAGCAACGCCGCGUGAGUGAUGACGGCCUUCGGGUUGUAAAGCUCUGUCUUCAGGGACGAUAAUGACGGUACCUGAGGAGGAAGCCACGGCUAACUACGUGCCAGCAGCCGCGGUAAGAC